rnacentral:rRNA from 1 species
UCUACUGCCAUACCACCCUGAACGCGCCCGAUCUCCUCUGAUCUCGGAAGCUAAGCAGGGUCGGGCCUGGUUAGUACUUGGAUGGGAGAACAACACCCAUAUUAUGGGAUUGUUAUAA